rnacentral:rRNA from 1 species
GAUGAACGCUGGCGGCGUGCCUAAUACAUGCAAGUCGAGCGAACAGACGAGGAGCUUGCUCCUCUGACGUUAGCGGCGGACGGGUGAGUAACACGUGGAUAACCUACCUAUAAGACUGGGAUAACUUCGGGAAACCGGAGCUAAUACCGGAUAAUAUAUUGAACCGCAUGGUUCAAUAGUGAAAGACGGUUUUGCUGUCGCUUAUAGAUGGAUCCGCGCCGCAUUAGCUAGUUGGUAUGGUAACGGCUUACCAUGGCAACGAUGCGUAGCCGACCUGAGAGGGUGAUCGGCCACACUGGAACUGAGACACGGUCCAGACUCCUACGGGAGGCAGCAGUAGGGAAUCUUCCGCAAUGGGCGAAAGCUUGACGGAGCAACGCCGCGUGAGUGAUGAAGGUCUUCGGAUCUUAAAACUCUGUUAUUAGGGAAGAACAAAUGUGUAAGUAACUAUGCACGUCUUGACGGUACCUAAUCAGAAAGCCACGGCUAACUACGUG